UAUCCAGUAGCACCUUAGAGACCAAGUAAGUUUGUUCUGGGUAUAAGCUUUUGUGUGGGUGCAUACACAUGAAAGCUCCAUACCCAGAACAAACUUAGUUGGUCUCUAAGAUGCUACUGGACA